UCGUGACUGGGGUGAAGUCGUAACAAGGUAGCCGUAUCGGAAGGUGCGGCUGGAUCACCUCCUUUCUAGA
rnacentral:rRNA from 2 species